rnacentral:misc_RNA from 1 species
GUUGGGGUGUGAAUGGGGUGGUUGGCGGGCAAAAGGAGGAGGCCAUUGUUUUAAUGUUGCAAUGUUGGGGAAGCAGGGGUUGGAAGCUCUUUGUCCAAUUUGGAAUCUCUUCUAAGUAGAGUGUGCAGAGCUAAACACUUCCCAUCGGGGGAUUUCUUGGAAGCCGUUGAAGGGUCGAAUCCAAGCUUUGUAUGGAAGAGUAUAUUGCACUCCCAAUAUGUGUUGAAACAGGGGUCUAGAUGGAGAGUGGGUAAUGGAGAGAGUAUAAGGGUGUGACAGGAUCCAUGGUUAAAUGACUCCAAUAAUUUCUGAAUUGAUUCGUUCCAGGUGUCGAAUUAUGAAGAGAUGUUAAUGAGGGACUUAAUGGAUGAAGAGGGCAAGACCUGGAACCAUGAAUUAAUUCAGAGUCUCUUUCAAUCUCGGGACAUUGCAGCAACCUGUAGCAUCCCCAUCAGUUGUUCUGGCAGAAAUGAUGCAUGGAUUUGACAUUUUAAUAAGAAGGGGAUUUACUCCGUAAAAUUAAUUUACUAUUUGGCUAGAGAUCUCAAGAUGGAUGAGGCUCAUGCUCGGGUUCCAGGGAACUGAUCUAAGCAAUGAAAGCUUGCUGUGCUAGAAAAAUAUCAUUUGGCGGGCCUGUAGGAAUUUUUUGCCAACACGGAUUAGAUUAUACCAGAGGGGUAUGCAGCUGGAUUUGAGGUGCAGCGUGUGGGGUGAGCUGGAGAAUUCUGUACAUGUAUUGUUAAAAUGUCCUCUGGCAGCUGAGUGUUGCGCUCUUGUUGGGGUAAAUGCAGGCUAAAUUAUUGCUGAAGAUUUUGGGAGCUUCUUCUUUCAUUUGUUUCAGGCUUUUAAUCUUGAUAUUAUUGCUCAGUAUGAUUUGGGUUGGCCAAAAUCAAACAAUGUGGCAGCAGCAUCAAUUUAGUCCCCGGAAGAGAAUAGAUUAUGGUUCCAAUUUAUUGCAAAAUUGGUUGCAGGUUCGUGCUAUACUGCAUGUGUCCAGGCCACUUAUAUCUGUUCUUGGUGGGAAUUGCUUGCGUCGGGUUCAGUAAAAUGUAUUAUAGGUGUUGCUACAUUUGCUGACAGAAAAUGUUUGGAGUUUGGUUUCUUUAUAAGGGAUGAUGUGGGCUCUUUUGUAGUGGCUGGUUCGGUUGGCGUGUUAGUCUCAUACCUGCAAAGUUUGCAAAGGCCAAGGGACUCAAGAGGACGUUGAUUCGCUUUGUACACAGAAUUUCUCUAAUGUGCAGAUUGAAGUUGAUUCCCAGGAGUUGUUUUAUGGCAUCAGGUCCUUGGAUGAAGACUU